UGCCAGCAGCCGCGGUAAUACGAACUGUGCAAACGUUAUUCGGAAUCACUGGGCUUAAAGGGUGCGUAGGCGGCUAUGUAGGUCUGAUGUGAAAUCCCACGGCUCAACCGUGGAACUGCGUUGGAAACCACAUAGCUUGAGGAAGACAGAGGUGAGCGUAACUGAUGGUGGAGCGGUGAAAUGCGUUGAUAUCAUCAGGAACACCGGUGGCGAAAGCGGCUCACUGGGUCUUUUCUGACGCUGAGGCACGAAAGCUAGGGGAGCGAACGGGAUUAGAUA
rnacentral:rRNA from 1 species